rnacentral:rRNA from 1 species
UGGGAACCUUCCCUAUGGUUCGGAAUAGCCCAGGGAAACUUGGGGUAAUACCGGAUAAGCCCUUCGGGGGAAAGAUUUAUCGCCAUUGGAUGGGCCCGCGUCGGAUUAGCUAGUUGGUGAGGUAACGGCUCACCAAGGCAACGAUCCGUAGCUGGUCUGAGAGGAUGAUCAGCCACACUGGGACUGAGACACGGCCCAGACUCCUACGGGAGCAG